AGAGAUGGGGCUGAUCUGGCUGUAACAUCUGUCACACUAUUGAUCACCAGGCUUGAUUUGUCUGUUACGGUUGGCUAGCCAGGUGUCUACUCUCCCUCAGCCCUCUAUGAAUAUACCUUCCAAAGCUGUUCACUUGUUUGAAAAGGACGAGAGGAAAAUGCUGGAAGGAGAGGAGGGAAGGGAAGCUGCAAUCAGGAUGUAGACUACAUUAAUUUUAAUUAACUAAUAACAUUAAUUUAAAAAUUAAAUAAAUAAACCUCUUUUCCUUCUGGUUAGAGAGAGAGGGGGAGGGAGGGGGAGAGAGAGAGAGAGAGAGAGAGAGAGAGAGAGAGAGAGAGAGAGAGAGAGAGAGAGAGAUGAACUUUCCCAAAUAAAGGAGAACUGGUUCCUGGUCAAGAGUUGAUGAGUAGCUGAGCUCCCUGCUAGAACCUUCAAACAAACUCUCAAUAGAGAAAAGACUGUCUUUAAAACAACGUGUACAGUAGCAGUUGCCACUAUAUGU
rnacentral:snRNA from 1 species